rnacentral:rRNA from 1 species
UACGGAGGGAGCUAGCGUUAUUCGGAAUUACUGGGCGUAAAGCGCACGUAGGCGGCUUUGUAAGUUAGAGGUGAAAGCCCGGGGCUCAACUCCGGAACUGCCUUUAAGACUGCAUCGCUUGAAUCCAGGAGAGGUGAGUGGAAUUCCGAGUGUAGAGGUGAAAUUCGUAGAUAUUCGGAAGAACACCAGUGGCGAAGGCGGCUCACUGGACUGGUAUUGACGCUGAGGUGCGAGAGCGUGGGGAGCAAACAGG